rnacentral:rRNA from 1 species
CGGGCCGACCGGUCUGCCGAUGGGUAUGCACUGGCCGGCGCGUCCUUCCACCCGGAGACCGCGCCUACUCUUAACUGAGCGGGCGCGGGAGACGGGUCUUUUACUUUGAAAAAAUCAGAGUGUUUCAAGCCGGCAGUCGCUCUUGCAUGGAUUAGCAUGGGAUAAUGAAAUAGGACUCUGGUGCUAUUUUGUUGGUUUCGAACACCGGAGUAAUGAUUAACAGGGACAGUCAGGGGCACUCGUAUUCCGCCGAGAAAGGUGAAAUUCUCAGACCAACGGAAGACGAACCACUGCGAAAGCAUUUGCCAGGGAUGUUUUCACUGAUCAAGAACGAAAGUUAGGGGAUCGAAGACGAUCAGAUACCGUCGUAGUCUUAACCAUAAACCAUGCCGACUACGGAUUGGAGGA